CAGUCGCCACGGUAAAACGUAGGGGGCAAGCGUUAUCCGGAUUUACUGGGUGUAAAGGGAGCGCAGACGGCCAAGCAAGUCUGAAGUGGAAUGCAUGGGCUCAACCCAUGAAUUGCUUUGGGAACUGUAGAACUGGAGUGUCGGAGGGGUAAGCGGAAUUCCCAGUGUAGCGGUGAAAUGCGUAGAUAUUGGGAGGAACACCGGCGGCGAAGGCGGCUUACUGGACGACAACUGACGUUGAGGCUCGAAGGCGUGGGUAGCAAACAGGAUUAGAUACCCCCGUAGUCCCUGUCUCUUAUAC
rnacentral:rRNA from 1 species